rnacentral:lncRNA from 1 species
CAUCGAUCGCGCCAUCACUUGUGGACGACAUGGCCUUCAAGAUGUCGCUCACAUGUACGUCUAUAGAUCUGUCCACCUCACCUGUCCCUUUCCUGUCUUAAUUAAUCCAACCCUGGACGUUGCUUACGCUUGCCAACUCCAUAACCCUUCCUUCCUCCUCCAAGCAAGAAAGAGUGCUACGACGUGGGAGUCGAAUCUUCC